GGAGCCGGCCAGACAGUCGCUGCGGCUUUGACAGUCGUGGAGGAAAGUCCGGGCUCCACAGGGCAGGGCGCCAGGUAACGCCUGGGCGGCGCAAGCCGACGGAAAGUGCCACAGAAAUGAUACCGCCGAUGGCCUUCGGGCACAGGUAAGGGUGAAAUGGUGCGGUAAGAGCGCACCGCGCGGGUGGCAACACGCCGCGGCAGGGUAAACCCCGCCCGGAGCAAGGCCAAAUAGGGGUGCAUUGGUGCGGCCCGCACUGCACCCGGGUAGGCUGCUCGAGGCGCAUGGUGACAUGCGUCCCAGAUGAAUGACUGUCCCCGACAGAACCCGGCUUAUCGGCCGGCUCCACUU
rnacentral:RNase_P_RNA from 2 species